rnacentral:rRNA from 1 species
CCUACGGGUGGCAGCAGUGAGGAAUAUUGGUCAAUGGGCGUAAGCCUGAACCAGCCAAGUCGCGUGAGGGAUGAAGGUCCUAUGGAUCGUAAACCUCUUUUAUAAGGGAAUAAAGUGCGGGACGUGUCCCGUUUUGUAUGUACCUUAUGAAUAAGGAUCGGCUAACUCCGUGCCAGCCGCCGCGGUAAUACGGAGGAUCCGAGCGUUAUCCGGAUUUAUUGGGUUUAAAGGGUGCGUAGGCGGGCUUUUAAGUCAGCUGUGAAAGUCUGUGGCUCAACCGUAGAAUUGCCGUUGAAACUGGGAGCCUUGAGUACGGUUGAGGUAGGCGGAAUGCGUGGUGUAGCGGUGAAAUGCUUAGAUAUCACGAAGAACUCCGAUUGCGAAGGCAGCCUACUAAGC